rnacentral:rRNA from 1 species
AGUGAACGCUGGCGGUAGGCCUAAUACAUGCAAGUCGAACGUGUGGCGGACGGGUGAGGAACAUAUCGGACUCUACUCUGUCGUGGGGGAUAACGUAGGGAAACUUACGCUAAUACCGCAUACGAUCGAAUGAGCCGAUGUCGGAUUAGCUAGUUGGCGGGGUAAAGGCCCACGAAGGCGACGAUCCGUAGCUGGUCUGAGAGGAUGAUCGGCCACAUUGGAACUGAGACACGGUCCAGACUCCUACGGAGGGCAGCAGUGGGGAAUAUUGGACAAUGGGCGCAAGCCUGAUCCAGCCAUCCCGCGUGGGUGAAGAAGGCCUUCGGGUUGUAAAGCCCUUUUGUUGGGAAAGCGGUACCCAAAGAAUAAGCACCGGCUAACUUCGUGCCAGCCGCCGCGGUAAUUC